rnacentral:tRNA from 5 species
AGGGGUAUCGCCAAGCGGUAAGGCAACGGACUCUGACUCCGUCAUUCAAAGGUUCGAAUCCUUUUACCCCUGCCA